CCUACGGGGGGCUGCAGUGGGGAAUUUUGGACAAUGGGCGAAAGCCUGAUCCAGCAAUGCCGCGUGCAGGAUGAAGGCCUUCGGGUUGUAAACUGCUUUUGUACGGAACGAAAAAGCUCCUUCUAAUACAGGGGGCCCAUGACGGUACCGUAAGAAUAAGCACCGGCUAACUACGUGCCAGCAGCCGCGGUAAUACGUAGGGUGCGAGCGUUAAUCGGAAUUACUGGGCGUAAAGCGUGCGCAGGCGGUUAUGUAAGACAGAUGUGAAAUCCCCG
rnacentral:rRNA from 1 species